UACGGAGAUGGCAAGCGUUAUCCGGAAUCAUUGGGUUUAAAGGGUCCGUAGGCGGUUUGGUAAGUCAGUGGUGAAAGCCCAUCGCUCAACGGUGGAACGGCUAUUGAUACUGCCAGACUUGAAUUAUUAGGAAGUAACUAGAAUAUGUAGUGUAGCGGUGAAAUGCUUAGAGAUUACAUGGAAUACCAAUUGCGAAGGCAGGUUACUACUAAUGGAUUGACGCUGAUGGACGAAAGCGUGGGUAGCGAACAGG
rnacentral:rRNA from 1 species